GUGGCUAUAGCUCCAAUUCAACCCCUAGCCUGGGAAUCUCCAUACGCCGUGGGAGCGGCCCAAGAAAUAGCAACAACAACAACAACAACAACAACAAAAAGGAUUCCUAGGGAACUGGUUAAAUGCAGUUACUUGGGCUCCACCCUCAUUCCAGGAUCUGGAGGCUGUAGGGUAGGGUCCACAGGGCAGGUGUUUUUCUCCUGGGUUUGGAUCCACCUUUCCAAAGACAAACAUAAGCCUCCUGACAAAAGCGCACCAGUGCCUUGGAUCUGUAGUGAACCAGUUUCCUAAUAAGUACCUCUCACAGUCUCUCCUUGUAUUUUCACCACAACCCAUUUGACUGAAACUCAGAGAGGGAGAGUGAACUGCCCUGAGACACAGAUGCAAGAGGACCGAUGGAGUAGCCCUAUGGCCAUCAAGGUGUCCCUUUAAGAAGGAGGCUCAUCCCUGGCAACUGGUGCUCAGAUGGGGCCCAGGGGAGGCCCCAGGGGAGUGAGGAGCAGGACUGGGAGGUCUGGCCAGGAGGAGGUUCCCAGAGCACCAAAGAAAGCCAGGCCCGAAAGCGGGGGGCCUGAGACCCAGCCUGGCAGGAUCCUGCUCAGAAAGGAAGACCCUCAGCGCUUCUGGGCUGGACAGCGGCUGAGGUUUGGAGGUUAGGGAUUGUUUGCUUUGGGCAGCAUAGCUCUUACCUUGUGUGUUCACUUGCUUUGUAAGAACAACGUGAGGCGAGUACCUUACAUGCUCAAUUUCCGGAGUAGGUACCUACACCAGAGAUGUUAAGGUUCUCCCAGAGUCACAGCAGUCGGGAUUCUCAUUCAGUUCUGUCCCCCACACUUUCCCCUGACCCCUAGCUGUUGUUAGAAGGCCAGGUGUCCACAUGUUGUUGAGUGACUCUAGGGGAUGUUGACACUCUUUUUCCUACCUGGAGUGUUACCUUCUGAGGGUGGACAGUCCUAGCCCCGGGGGCCGCCUCAGUGUAGACAGUGUGCAGUCAGGACUGAAAGUUCCCAGGGCUGCCCUUCCCCAGCCAGGUGACCUUGGACAGGCCCCUCCCACUCUGAGCCUCUUCCACUGCUAUAACCAGGGCCACAGCUGCCAGCUUCUCUGGGCUGUCGGGAGGAUGAGGGGUGCAGGGAAGGAGAGGUGAUUAAAGAGGAUCUGCGAAGAACAGCUCCUUCAGGCUCUGGGGAACUUUGCUGGAAUGCUCUUCCUUGGAAUUUCCUCUGUCCCUCCCACCACCACCACCACACAGCCUCCUCCAUGGUUCUCCUUCCACCCUGCUGGGACCCCAAAGUCUUCACGCCUCAUCAAGAGAACAAAGCCAGGGACAACACAGCGUGUCUAGCAUGUGUGAACCCACAGAAGCCUCUGCAAGGAUGUUCACUAAAUCUUAACGUUUCUUCGGAUGAUGGACUUUUAGGUGACUUUUUUUUCUCUCAUCUUUGUAUUUUAUCGGUUACUUACUUUUCUAAACAUAUAUUAUCUUUGCAUUCCUAUAACCUAAAAUGUUUCAUUUCGGAAAAAACGAAGAAAUCUAAGCACAGCACGGAUAAAGCUGGUGUGAAGUUCUUAGAAGCAGGGCAAGUGGCUGACGGUGGCUCUGCAGUCCCCUAUUUCUUGCCUCUGCAUGUGUCACAGGGACUGUUCCGUUCCUCCUGGUGCUCUAGGCUCCUUGGGAGGCUGGGACCACCCCGACUUCUGGGGCUUCUUCACAGCUCUGGGCACAUGGCAGGUGCACAGUACACCUCACCUCUCGCCAAACAACUGCAUUGUCCUCCUCCCUGGUUUUCUCUUGCCACCCACCCACCCCAUCGCCACCCCCUACCCUGGCCCCCCGUCUGUUCUCAACAGUGCAAAUCAACUACAUCCCUCUUUGACCCACAGGCCCUGCGCUGUCUGGCACACUGGCCCCUCCAGUGUAGACCGCCUUUCACCACCUUAUCUGUGCUCAGCUGAAGCACAGUGUGGCCCCUCCAGUCCUUUGACUUGCUGCUCCUUCUGCCCAAAUGCUCUCCCCUCAGAUUUGUGCUUUGUCACUUAGGUCUCAGAUUAAACAUCUUGUCACACAAGAUUUCCCCAACCUCCUUCUUCCCUUCCCCCCACAUACGCACAAAUAUGCUGCCACCUGGUUUCAUUUUAUUUUAUUUUCCUUUUUAGGGCCGCAUCCACGGCGUAUGGAAGUUCCCGGACUAGGGAUUGAAUCCUGGAACUGUAGUCACCAGCCUGCACCACAGCCACAGCAACGCCAGAUCUGAGCCACAUCUGUGACCCACACCACAGCUCACAGCAACGCUAGAUCCUUCACACUGAGCGAGGCCAGGGAUCGAACCCACGUCCUCAUGGAUGCUAGUUGGGUUCUUCACCCCCUAAGCCACGCGGGAACUCCUGGUUUUAUUUCUUCCCUAGCACAACUGUCACCUGAGACUACAACUUUGUCUACUCUGCCUCCCCAGAAUUUAAUCCCCACCCAGGCAGGGGCCUUGCCAGUCCUGCUCACCGCUGUACCCCUAGCACAGAGGCCCAGUGCCGCUUGACACAUGGCAGGCUCCAGGGAAGUUUGUGGGGUUGAAUGAACUCACUCCAGAUCGACUUGUCGUUAAGUCACAAUGUCUAAGGGUAAAAUACCUGUUCUUCUACCAUUCUCCCCAGAAGGCAACAAUGUGUGGCUGAAGUACCUUAUCUUGUCAACUGUCUUCAGGAGCGAGAAGGAGCUGGGGCCUCUGCACAGGGCUGGCCUGCAGGAUGCAGGAGUCCUCCGUCCGUGGCUGUUGAAUGGGUGCUGCUCUCAGCCCGACAACAUUCAUUGAUCAUCUAAUCUGCACCAAGUGCUGGGCAAAGAGUUUUCCAUUUACUCUCUUCAAAACCACCCUGUGAGGUAGGUAUCGUUUCCCCUAUUUUACAGAUAAAGAGAAGAGGGCGUUCCUGGUGUGGGCAAUGGGAUUGGUGGCAUUUUCAGUGCCAGGACGCAAUCCCUGGCCUGGCACGGGUUAAAGGAUCUGGCAUUGUCGCAGCUGCAGUGUAGGCUGAAACUGUGGCUCAGACUGAUCUCUGGUUCGGGAACUCCAUAUGCUGCAGUGGCCCCAAAAAAAGGAAAAAAAGAGACAAAGACUGGCUCACAAGUGGCAAAGUUAGGACUUAAGCACAGGCUGUGUGAUCUUAGACUAGGUGCUCUUAGAGGACUCCUGCCUCUGAAACUGCCAGCUCUUGGCAAGCAAAUAUGUCAGCCAAGGCCACCUGCCUUCUGUGUCCUCUGGAAAGUCAGAACUUCUUGCUUUAUUUCUUUGGUUGCCCUUGGCAUACGGAGUUCCCGGGCCAGGGAUCAGAUCCCAGCCACAGCUGCAACCUAAGCUGCAGCUGUGGCAAUGCUGGAUCCUUAACCUGCUGUGCUGGGACAGGGAUCAAACUUGCUUCCCAGUUCUCCCAAAACGCUGCAGGAACGUCCUCUUAUUUACACUGGAAAAAUGCCUCAAUGAUGAGGUCUUAGCUAUGUGGUGAUUUCAAGGGCUCAGCCACUUGCACCUGGAUAACUUACUGUACCUGUUUCCCCACCUGUAAAACGGGACCAAUGGUUACACCUCACAUCCACUGCGUGCGAAAGCUGAGCGGAAGGUGCUCAAAGUGGCCCAACUGAACCUGCAGACACCUGCAGCCACGCCGGUGUGUCUUGCAGUACUGGGGGUGUUCAGAGAGCUGACCACCCAUCCCAGCACUUGUGAGAUCAUGGGAACAAGGUGGGGAGAGAGCCCCGGGGCUGCAGACACAGGCUAUGCCACAAUGAACCCAGAAGUGAACACUGCUGGGUGCAGUCAGAUGUCCUCCAAGAUCUUAGAAGUUGGGGCCAGCAGACCAGGCUUAGGAGCCUGACUCCGCCACUGGCCACGAGGUGACCAUGGGCUAGCUGAAUUCUCUCGGAACCCUCUGACCAUCUUUAUAAUCCAGUGGUGAGAGUCAUCUGUUCUUUACUGCUCUUGCCACUUCUCAUCCACAAGGCGUACAACCAAGCAAAGGCGGCCUAUCCAGGCUCAGCGCAGUUCAGCUCAGAGGAGACAGACGAAGCACAGCCUGCGGUUGCUUCAUGCAUGACACAAAUGCAAGCAGGCAGAAGUGAAUUUAUUGCAUUAGAAAAAAUACCAAAGGAAAACAGCAAACACCUCCAUACUAGAUACAAUUAUUAGUUUGAUUUCAAGGGUGAAAAGGGAUCGCAAAGGUACAAACUUCAUUUCUGAGAGGGGUGACGGUCUCAUCCCUCCUCCUCCUUCCCUGUCCCUUUAAACCAAUGGGCCUCGAUGGAGGUGAUACAAUCACACACACGGCUUGCUCUCACCCUGCUCGCCUGCGCACACCCGUGCGGAGCCAGCUCGUACGAUGAGCAGGCUCCUGAGGUUCUGGGGUAGACAGAGAAAUGUGAGGAUGGGGUGGGGGGGUCCUCGCCGGGCCCGGGGUUCCAGUUAGUGACCGUGGGCCUUAGGUGGGGGAGGGAGAGCUCGCCUUCCUGCAAAGCUCUGAGAAGACGGCUGACUGACCCCUCCUUCUCUCCCCACAAACCCUAAGGCACAGGCAUUGGCACAAAUAGCUGUUGGGCAUGAAGGGUGGCUUUCAAUGAGCAAGUGACUCAAAGUCUCUCAGGGGAGCCACGUGGGCUAACUUCUUGGUACAGCCCUGGGUCUGGAGGUGAGCACUGGGGGAGGGAAAGAAAUCAGCUGAGCCUGGAUAUGGGGGAGGGGAAAGAAGGAGCCUUGAUGCCCAUCACCCUCUGGCUAGAGCUGAGUGCCCUGGGCAGAGAGGUCUGGAGCAGGGGCCUGGAAAGAGCGAGGGCUGGCGAGGCAAGCUGGAAAAGGGCAGAAACCCAGCUGGGAAGCAGAGCAACGUCCUCAACCAAUGCGCUGCCCUCCCAGGAGGAAGCCCGCCCGAAACCCACUCGCUGUGGCCCAAUUCUGCCAGAGGGUCAACAUUAAAUAAGAGCCGGUGCUAGUUUCUACUCUAAUGUCUCAUUACCAUGCACACUGGCAAGUCAGUGGGUCUUCGGAAAAAUUAAAGUGCUUAAUGGUUUGUCUUCCAACCUUGAAAGUUCCAAAGUGUCCCUUGACAUCACAGCUAGUCAUCGCAGAUGUGCCCAGUCAGGUGACAGGCAAACACUAACGCAGAAUAACAUCUCUAGCUAAGACCCUGGUGAUGCCAACUGCCAUGGCUAACAGCAGAGAUGGGAGGAGAUGAGGCCGGACGUGAGCAACAGCUUUUUGGAGAGGAAAGGCACCUGCUGCAGGCCAGACCCCAGGAAAGAGAACAUAAUUCAAGUCUGAGAAGUGGCAGGAGCCGUGGCAGGAGGGCCCAAGUGCCAAGGCUGGGCUCAGGUACCGAGAAGAUCUGAGCCCUCCUCCACAUUCACUUUCUCAACUUAAAGGAGGCUCACUUGAAGAAAGAAUCGGAGAGCCUCUCCAGGUGAGAAGCUUCCAGAUUGUUUCCUGCCUAUAAGCUCCUAGCAGCAGCUCUUUAGGAAAAUGCCCACUUACACCCUCAACCUCGCUUCCUUACAGUCAGAAUGACACCGGAAAUAACACGUGCCUUUGAAACACACUUAGGAUCACGUAAAAAUCCCUACCAGAAACAACCCUAAAUUUCCUUGCCACCUUGAUUUGGCCUUACUAUUCUUUCUACAUCGGGGACAUUGCCCCUUGGUCCCCAGCUGAACACUGCACACUGGCCUGGGUGGGGUGGGUACAGUGACUACAAUAACCUACGUUAUCACUCGCAGACAACAGGGCUGGGUUUCUGCUGCUCCCGACCUUCACUAGCUGUGACAGGGCAGCUAUGCUGAGGAAGAACAGUCAGCAGACAGCUAGGCAGGUCCUCCAAAAUCCACGUCAGAGGAUUGGCAGACAGUCUGGGUGGAAGGAAGAAUGGCUUUAUCCUGUUUCUUCUGGCCUGACACUUGCUGUUGCUCUCCCUCGAUCCUGAGGCUUUGGGUUGCUCCAGCCCGGGCCCCGUGGCCUUGACUGAGGGAGGAGAGGAAAGGUGGGAGAGACUGUGGCUAAAAGAGUUCCUUUAGGUUGGCUGAGUCAUCUUGAAAGUGGUCCCACGUGCACCAUAUCCUUUGGUUCAUUUAAUGCUAGAGAGUAACCACUUCCAGGUCAUGGAAAACGUAAAACCCACCUGGCUCCCACAGGUGGUGGCAACCUGGGUAGAGCGUGGGCAUUCUCCGGAAAGAGGUCCUAGGUUGGGGUUCCCCACACUGUGCCGCUUGCUUUCUGCUUAAACAAACCCCCUCCCUUUCUCCAGUGUGGAGGACGCUCAGGAAGCAGCGUCAAAA